rnacentral:rRNA from 1 species
CCUACGGGGGGCAGCAGUGGGGAAUCUUGCGCAAUGGGCGAAAGCCUGACGCAGCCAUGCCGCGUGAAUGAUGAAGGUCUUAGGAUUGUAAAAUUCUUUCACCGGGGACGAUAAUGACGGUACCCGGAGAAGAAGCCCCGGCUAACUUCGUGCCAGCAGCCGCGGUAAUACGAAGGGGGCUAGCGUUGCUCGGAAUUACUGGGCGUAAAGGGAGCGUAGGCGGACAUCUAAGUCAGGGGUGAAAUCCCGGGGCUCAACCUCGGAAUUGCCUUUGAUACUGGGUGUCUUGAGUAUGAGAGAGGUGUGUGGAACUCCGAGUGUAGAGGUGAAAUUCGUAGAUAUUCGGAAGAACACCAGUGGCGAAGGCGACACACUGGCUCAUUACUGACGCUGAGGCUCGAAAGCGUGGGGAGCAAACAGGAUUAGAUACCCUGGUAGUCCACGCCGUAAACGAUGAUUGCUAGUUGUCGGGAUGCAUGCAUUUCGGUGACGCAGCUAACGCAUUAAGCAAUCCGCCUGGGGAGUACGGUCGCAAGAUUAAAACUCAAAUGAAUUGACGG